rnacentral:rRNA from 1 species
CCUGGUUGAUCCUGCCAGUAGUGAUAUGCUUGUCUCAAGGAUUAAGCCAUGCAGGCUGAAAGUCAAGUUUGAAACUGUGAAUGGCUCAUUAAACCAGCUCUUGCUUCUUUGAGGGUUGCUGUGGAUAUCUGUUGGGAACUGCAGCUAAUACGGUUCUGAAUGUCCUUUGGACAGAGGUGUGCGAAAUAAGCGAGUUUAUUGGCACUUCGACGACUGUGAUGCUUGUUUGCGCUUGUGUCCCGGCGUUUGAAGGAGGGGUCUGACCUAUCAGCUUUCGUUGGUGUUGUAUUGGAGCACCGAGGCGGUGACGGGUGCCGGGGGAUUGGGGUUUGGUUCCGGAGAGGGAGCCUGAGAGAUGGCUACCACGCCCAAGGGUGGCAGCAGGCGCGCAAAUUACCCAAUUGUUUGUUCGACAGAGGUAGCGACGGGAAAUAGCAGCGCGACUUCAAGUCGUAGACUGCAAUGGACAGAUUUUAGAAGUUUCUGUGAUGAGCUAUUGAAGGGCAAGUCUGGUGCCAGCAGCCGCGGUAAUUCCAGCUUCAAGAGCGUAUAUUACUGCUGUUGCAGUUAAAAUGUUCGUAGUCUCGGUUUCCAGUUUGGUGUGCGUAGUGUGCCUUUGUACACGACGUCACACCCAGGUUUGUUGGUUGAGGUGGGCGAUUGCCCUAACGGGAUAAUUUCUCACCUUUUUCCUUGAUAAGACUUCGAGUAAAUGGGGGGGCUCCAGCCAGGCAUUGCUACAAGCAUGCACGGCCCAUUUAGCGUGGCACUUUCGGAGUGGGGGCGAGAGGGGGACCAGAUCUUGCUCUUGCCCACCGCUUGCCGCACAGGAUUGGACGGGGACAUCCGUAUUGAACAGCAAGAGGUGAAAUUCUGGGAUUUGUUCAAGACGAGCAAAGGCGAAGGCAUUUGUCCGCGACUUUUCCUUUGAUAAAGAGCGAAGGUUGGGGGAUUCAAGAUGAUCAGAUACCGUCGUAGUCCCAACGGUAAACUAUGCCAGCACUGUGUCUCGGCACUCCCAAUUCUGGGGAGUGUCGGGGCUUGUGGAGAAAUCGUUAGCGAUCGGGUUCUGGGGGAAGUAUGGUCGCAAGAUCGAAACUUAAAGGAAUUGACGGAAGGGCACCACCAGGAGUGGAGCUUGCGGCUUAAUUUGACCCAACGCGGGGAAACUUACCAGCGCCAGACAACGCUGUGAUUGACAAGCGGGAGGCUUUUCUUGAUUCGUUGGGUGGUGGUGCAUGGCCGUUCCGAGUUGGUGGAUUGAUUUGUCAGGUUGAUUCCGACAACGAACGAGAUCCAAGCUUUCUAGUUCGGGGUAGUCUCAUUGUGUGACUACUUUCUGGUUAGAAGGACGGUGUUCGUUUACAACAAUGAGGGGUUGGGCGAUAACAGGUCUGUGAUGCCCUUCGAUACGCUGGGCCGCACGCGUGCUACAUUGCACAUUUGAGAGGGGUUGGGGCCUCGUAUCCGAGGCCUUUUCCCGAAUAACGGUCGAUAAUGCUAAGUUAGGUCAGAUCUUUGCAAUUUUGGAUCUUUAAUGAGGAAUUCCUCGUAGGCGUCAGCCGAUCAUCUGACGUCGAUUACGUCCCUGCCCUUUGUACACACCGCCCGUCGCUCCUACCGAUUGGGUUGUCCGGCAAAUGCGAAUGACGGACUGGCUUUGAUUCUUGUCACGGUUUGGUUCGGAUUUUGUGUAAGCCAUACUUCCUAGAGGAAGGAGAAGUCGUAACAAGGUU